GGAAGCCAACAGGUGGGGUCGCUCGUUCAAGCUCCACCAAUCAGCGAUGGCAGGCCUGGCCCGGCCUUGCGUGGCGGAGAAGCUGGGCAUCCUCUGUCGCACCUGGACGUGGUUGCGGGUCGCAGUGAUGAGGAGCUGGCCUCUGGGGUCAGAGAGGUCAGCGUCUGGAUCCCGACGCGGCCGCUUGCGGGCUGGCUGGGCUGGGGGCACGUGCCCUCCCUGGGCCCCACGCGCCUCAUCUGCAAAAGGGGGAUCCCACCCCCGGGGUGCGGCUUCGGGGAGCGCCGGGUCAGGUAUGCACGCAGCUCAAGAGGGUAAGCUCUCAGGGAUCAGCGAUGAUGCCAAAUCCCAUAGGAUAGGAUUACACGAUGUUCGAGUGGGAAAUGGCCCUCUGAAUGCAAGUUGUCCUCCAAACCAUCAUUUCAAAGAGGAGGAAAGAGAAUUCCCGGGGUGCCCAUCUUGCUUGGCACCAUACUAG
rnacentral:lncRNA from 1 species